ensembl:lncRNA
AUUGAACCGGCAACUUUCUGGUCACAGGGCCAGUUCCCUAACCUCCAGCCCAUGACUGCCCCCAAAUCAUGCCCCCAUGACUGUGGUUUUUUGCAGGGACUCUUAUUGUGAAGGGCGGGGCUACUGAAGGCUAGUGAGCGUGAGAGAGCCAACAACAGGACCAAUGAGCUAGGCUGAGGGUGACCUUCUCCUCCUGUGUUCUGUUUGCUGUACCAGUUCUAAAUGAAGCCACAUUGUGGACUUUGAGCUGUCCAUGGACAGGUAGAUGAGACAAGAGGUCGGUUCAAGGCUUCGGUGGAGCGUCAGAUAAAGGAGGAGGAAAUCUACAAGAACAGAAUUAAAGAACUGAAACUGUCCCUCGUGUGCGAGGUGAAGGGUCAGUGUCUUUACAGCACAGAAUCAGGCACCAGCAGACGGUCACCGGAUUCUUGUUUUCCGUUCAACGGCAGCAGAUGUUUGCAGCAUCGGACGUCUAAAAAAGCCGGAAAACUUUGCGGAUCUCAGAUCCCACCUUCGUCGCCAGAACACAAGUAUAUUCCUUCUUCACAAGCAUUCAGAAAUACUGUAAAUAGGUUCAGUUUCAUUAAAGAAAGGCCCGACUUGUCUUGCUGAGUCAGAAAUGUGGCCCUCAGCUGCAUAUUCAGAAAAAAAGGACACACAUAAAUGGGACGGUUUUAAGAAUC